AUUGAACGCUGGCGGCAGGCCUAACACAUGCAAGUCGAGCGAGCGGCGGACGGGUGAGUAAUGUCUGGGAAACUGCCUGAUGGAGGGGGAUAACUACUGGAAACGGUAGCUAAUACCGCAUACCAUCAGAUGUGCCCGGAUGGGUUUAGCUGGUGGGUGGGGUAACGGCCCACCUAGGCGCCGAUCCCUGGCUGGUCUGAGAGGAUGACCAGCCAAACGGGAACUGAGACCGGGUCAAGACCCCUACGGGAGGCAACAGGGGGAAUAUUGCACAAUGGGCGCAAGCCUGAUGCAGCCAUGCUGCGUGUGUGAAGAAGGCCUUCGGGUUGUAAAGCACUUUCAGCGGGGAGGCGUUACCCGCAGAAGAAGCACCAGCUAACUCCGUGCCAGCAGUCGCGGUAAUUC
rnacentral:rRNA from 1 species